rnacentral:lncRNA from 1 species
AUGAAUGCUGCCCAGAAAGAAAGGUCUGGGAUUCUGCAAAUAACCCCUUCAGGUAAGAAGUGCAGAGAUCUACAGCAUGACGUCAGAACAUCGGAUCAUCGGGCUCCUCCAGAACCGCCCUCUAUUGCUCCCCUAGAGAGCAUUAGGGUCACCUCCUUUGAUCCACCACCGCGCUACAGUCAGGUUGUUUUGAAACCAACUCACACAAAACCACCUCCUCUCUACAGCCUCAGGCCUGAGGGUCCUGCUGGCCAGAUGAGAGGGACCCUUUGAGCUUCCACACACACAAACCUCUUGGAUCAAGCCCAGGACCCUGGAAUGACUGCCUAUCCCAUCAUGUCUCUUGUCCUUUGA